GAUGAACGCUGGCGGCGUGCCUAAUACAUGCCAGUCGAGCGAACGGACGAGAAGCUUGCUUCUCUGAUGUUAGCGGCGGACGGGUGAGUAACACGUGGAUAACCUACCUAUAAGACUGGGAUAACUUCGGGAAACCGGAGCUAAUACCGGAUAAUAUUUUGAACCGCAUGGUUCAAAAGUGAAAGACGGUCUUGCUGUCACUUAUAGAUGGAUCCGCGCUGCAUUAGCUAGUUGGUAAGGUAACGGCUUACCAAGGCAACGAUGCAUAGCCGACCUGAGAGGGUGAUCGGCCAAACUGGAACUGAGACACGGUCCAGACUCCUACGGGAGGCAGCAGUAGGGAAUCUUCCGCAAUGGGCGAAAGCCUGACGGAGCAACGCCGCGUGAGUGAUGAAGGUCUUCGGAUCGUAAAACUCUGUUAUUAGGGAAGAACAUAUGUGUAAGUAACUGUGCACAUCUUGACGGUACCUAAUCAGAAAGCCACGGCUAACUACGUG
rnacentral:rRNA from 1 species